GAGAUGCGAUAAGUAAUGUGAAUUGCAGAAUUCAGUGAAUCAUCGAAUCUUUGAACGCACCUUGCGCUCCUUGGUAUUCCUUGGAGCAUGCCUGUUUGAGUAUCAUGAAAUCUUCAAAGUAAAUCUUUUGUUAACUCAAUUGGUUUCUACUUUGGUAUUGGAGGUCUUUGCAGCUUCACACCUGCUCCUCUUUGUUCAUUAGCUGGAUCUCAGUGUUAUGCUUGGUUCCACUCGGCGUGAUAAGUUAUCUAUCGCUGAGGACACUGUAAAAGGUGGCCAAGGUAAAUGCAGAUGAACCGCUUCUAAUAGUCCAUUGACUUGGACAAUACUUUUAUGAUCUGAUCUCAAAUCAGGUAGGACUACCCGCUGAACUUAAGC
rnacentral:misc_RNA from 1 species